GAUGUCAGAAGGUCUAAAUAGGGUUUUCAGGGUGAAAAAUAAUGGUUAAACAACAACGAAAAUAGUAAAAUAAGCAAUAAAAAAGUAAUAAAGAAUAAUCGGGUGCCAAAGAAAAAAAGAAUAAUUCAAGAAUUUUAUUUAAAUUAUCCCUGGAAAUGAACUAUGUACAGAACUGAGAAAUUAUACAAUUACAGAAAUGGACUAUGU
rnacentral:lncRNA from 1 species